rnacentral:lncRNA from 1 species
CUCUAUCCAAAUCAUUCAUUACAUUUCAUCAAAACUCAUCACAUAAAAAUGGCAUUUUUAAGGUGAAUUGAAUUUGAAAAAGGGAGGGAAAAAAGUCAUUUUCAAGAGUAUGCAUUUUCCACACAUAAUUCCACUUGCAAUUGGUCUGAAGUGUUAUUUGGAGGGUGUUUGGCCAAUAAUUCGUGCACUGUGGCAAGGCAUUGCAUACAUGAGGUUACUUUGGCCAUUUAACAUGAAAAAUGCAUUUCACUUAAUCCCUUUGGUUUUGGCUAAGCUUG